UUUUCUCUCCUGAUUUCUCUACCAAACAAUUUUGCUUAUUUGUUGAUGAACUUAAGAAAUAAUGAAAUAUACAUCGAUUUGUUUAUUGAUAAACCCACGUAACUUAAAUUAAAUGCGAGAUGACAUUGCGAUUGUGAAAGGGUGCAUAAUCUCCUCUUGGGUCGUUUACAACGAGGAAAGAGAUUGUGGGAACGACGGUUAUCAGUGAUCGUUUACGGUAGUACGCUGCGUUUGUCGAAAUUAAAGGAUUCUUUGGCGGACUUUCAUCCACAUUUCUUCUUUUACUGCUAUUAAUCCGUAAUUUACUGGAUAGCGUGGUUUUGAAGUGGAUGUCCAUGUGGAUGAAUUGAAGACAAAAGGAAAGCUUUUACGACGGUUUUCCAUCUUUCUUUUUAUUCACGUUUUAUCCUUGGCUAUUGACGAAGACAAGGAAAUGACUAUCAUCGGAUAUCGUUGGAAAACUUAAAAAUGGCACACUGAUAUGCUCACCGUUGGACCCACGAAAGAACCAGCAAAGAAAAGGUCCAGAGAAGAAAGAUAUGAAGGAUCGCAUUAG
rnacentral:lncRNA from 1 species